UAAUCUCUACUCACUCUUCUCCUCCUCGUAGGAGCCUCCAGAACUGUUGCUGUAUCGGGAUUCCAGGCAGUUGUGGUGCCUCAUGAUGUUACUCAACCUGGAUCACAAAGGUCAGAGGUUGUCGCCAUGGCUACUGCAACAGACAAUCUAUUAUAUUGACAAGAUAGUCGAGUGACAGCUCUAACAUGUCCACAAAGAUGGAAGGCAGGCGGGGGUGACGAGAUCAGGUUGGACCAUUCUAGUCAAUGAGAGGGCAGAUACGCAAGUGAACAGGCAGAACGCCGAUAUAAAGUAUUUCUUUUCAAAGUUGCUGAAAUGCCAUCCUAACCAUAAGGAAAUGUAUAUUUGAUCAAAUAAGCCUCAUGUAGCAAAUGAUCAAUUACCUUUUUUGUUGACCAAAUUCGACACUCUCUCAUUGUACCUCCAUAUAAACAUUCCUCACCUCGUGGUCUUAUUUUCAUGUCAACCCUUUCGCUUCGCCUCUUCUUCUCUGCUACUGCUGAUCUUAUAUUACAUCACAUUUCAUCUAACCUGGUCCCAGAUGUGACAAUGAAGGAGUUGACAUGAUAGCACAAACAGAUCUAGGACCAAGUUAUAUUUCACCUAGUCAGGUCCCAGAUCUCUUUGUGCUGUUUUGUCAACAUCCGUGGUUGUUGCCAUACCAAACGGAGUUGCAAAACAGCAGAAAGAGAUUUGAGACCAGGCCCCAUUCCCGGGACUGUGCUACUAUACCUCUCUUCGUUCUCUUUGGCUGCUUUAAUGUCACCUGCGUCAGGGAAACUCUCUUGGCCAGCAACUACAGUGUUGCUACUGGAUGUUGUACCUAAAAAAAAGUACAAGGUUUAUAGACACAAUGAAUUCAACGAUACAUAUUGUGAACGUUUUGGGAAAUGUAAAAUGUAUGAUAAAAAUCUGAUGUGGUAACUUUCCUUUGUGUAACAUAAUGUUACUACCAGAGGCGGAAGCGGAGGUCGAUAUGUCCAGUCUGACUGACUGUAUUAGUGGGUUCAUUCAUGUUCAUGUUUGUGCGUGUGUUUGUUAGUGUGUUUAUCUGUGUUUGUUUUAAUCCGUGUUUGUGUGUUCGUACGUUUGUCUGUGUGCGUGUCUCUACCUAUACCUGAGGUGGCGGUGGAGGUCUUGCUGGUGGCAGCGAAGCAGUAGAAAGGACCUGAGCCCUAGGACCAUGCCCCAGGACUACCUGACAUGAUGACUCCUUGCUGUCCCCAGUCCACCUGGCCAUGCUGCUGCUCCAGUUUCAACUGGCCUGGGCCCUAGGACCAUGUCCCAGGACUACCUGACAUGAUGACUCCUUGCUGUCCCCAGUCCACCUGGCCAUGCUGCUGCUCCAGUUUCAACUGUUCUGCCUUACUAUUAUUCAACCAUGCUGGUCAUUUAUGAACAUUUGAACAUCUUGGCCACGUUCUGUUAUAAUCUCCACCCGGCACAGCCAGAAGAGGACUGGCCACCCCACAUAUGCUCUCUCUAAUUCUCUCUUUCUUUCUCUCUCUCGGAGGACCUGAGCCCUAGGACCGUGCCCCAGGACUACCUGACAUGAUGACUCCUUGCUGUCCCCAGUCCACCUGACUGUGCUGCUGCUCCAGUUUCAACUGUUCUGCCUUAUUAUUAUUCGACCAUGCUGGUCAUUUAUGAACAUUUGAACAUCUUGGCCACGUUCUGUUAUAAUCUCCACCCGGCACAGCCAGAAGAGGACUGGCCACCCCACAUAUGCUCUCUCUAAUUCUCUCUUUCUUUCUCUCUCUCGGAGGACCUGAGCCCUAGGACCGUGCCCCAGGACUACCUGACAUGAUGACUCCUUGCUGUCCCCAGUCCACCUGACUGUGCUGCUGCUCCAGUUUCAACUGUUCUGCCUUAUUAUUAUUCGACCAUGCUGGUCAUUUAUGAACAUUUGAACAUCUUGGUCAUGUUCUGUUAUAAUCUCUACCCGGCACAGCCAGAAGAGCACUGGCCACCCCACAUAGCCUGGUUCCUCUCUAGGUUUCUUCCUAGGUUUUGGCCUUUCUAGGGAGUUUUUCCUAGCCACUGUGCUUUUACACCUGCAUUGUUUGCUGUUUGGGGUUUUAGGCUGGGUUUCUGUACAGCACUUUGAGAUAUCAGCUGAUGUACGAUGGGCUAUAUAAAUAAAUUUGAUUUGAUU